GUAAACUGCUCGCACCUUUUCAAACGGUGCACUUUCCCUACAAGAAAACCGAGGAGCUCCCGGCCGCGACAGGCUGCGCACGCGCAGAGGCGCCCGGCGCCACCUGGUGUUCACGCCGCGUAACGCUCGCGAGCUUCCUCCAGCCGGAAUUCUGGGCAAAAUCCCCAUUACUAUCCUGUGAUUACCACCAGCAGUGCUGACAUGAAGUACUCAGCUAUGCUCUUCUAGCCUAAAUGCUGUGCUCAAACUGGAAGAAUCAGCCUCCCGGGCGAGGUAUCACCCUGUCCUACUUUGAAAAGGACACAGUGCAGGGAUGAAGAACAGAGGCUUUUGCUGCUGAGAGAUCAUAUUUUAAACAAGACGUAAGUGGAGUCUUCAUAACCAGUCUGAUAAAUUCUCUUAGGGUAGUCAUGGGUCUGCCUCUCUGGCCACUGCCAUGUUAUGUAUCCUGAGCCGCAGUGGCUCACAGCUGUGCAGAAGGUAUCUGCUCUAUUGAGUCCAAUAGUUUCAAGCUGCUGAUUCUCAGAGCAGUAAUCCAUCCCAGCAUUGGUCCGAAGAACCCUG
rnacentral:lncRNA from 1 species